CAACGACUAACGGUUGCAUUUAAGUGCGAACAGCAGUUAAAACCCUAAGCUUGCGGCCCAGACUUACCGUGCACGAUACCGUGCUAAGGCGCCUCACGUACGUCCCAAAUCGAAUUCGUCAAUGCAACCUCCGAACGGCAUUAUGCCACGAAACCCCACAAGAACAUCCGUCCAUGCAAGCCCACAAACCAAAUUGUGCCAGGCCAUGUCCCCCAAACCGCAUCAUGCCAGGCCAUGUCCCCCAACCCGCAUCAUGCCAGGCCAUGUCCCCCAAACCCGCAUCAUGCCAGGCCAUGCCCCCCAAACCGCAUCAUGCCAGGCCAUGUCCCCCGAACCACAUCAUGCCAGGCCAUGUCCCCCAAACCCGCAUCAUGCCAGGCCAUGCCCCCCAAUCACAUCAUGCCAGGCCAUGCCCCCCAGUCACAUCAUGCCAGGCCAUGCACCCCAAAUCGCGUUGUGCAAGGCCAUGCCCCCCAAACCGCAUCAUGCCAGGCCAUGUCCCCCAAACCCGCAUUAUGCCAGGCCAUGCCCCCCAAACCGCAUCAUGCCAGGCCAUGCCCCCUAAUCGCAUCAUGCCAGGCCAUGCCCCCCAAUCACAUCAUGCCAGGCCAUGCCCCCCAAUCACAUCAUGCCAGGCCAUGCCCCCCAAUCACAUCAUGCCAGGCCAUGCCCCCAAGUCGCAUUGUGCCAGGCCAUGCCCCCAAGUCGCAUUGUGCUAGGCAAAACCCCAAACCGCACUGCGCCCGGCCACCCCAGGCCCCGACAGCAUCCGCCCAGGUACCUCCCAGAUCAUUUUGCAUGGGCCCAUUACUGGAAGUUCAGUUGCGCAAGUCCUCGUGCUGCAUUGAUUCCAUUUGACCGUCCAACCGAAACCGUUGGUCAUUAUUAACGUUGACCACUCGAUCGUUUACAGAACUGCUGUAUUCGCCACUUAUUGAUAUUUUUAUUAUUAACCGUUAUACGGCCUGUAUGGCGUUUACUGUACGACACCAUUCGUUCGGUCAUUGCUCGUAGUUGGCGCUGCAUGCAGCCAACAAGUUAUCAAGCCAACAAGAAUGGCGGCAACUGAUGAUGAUGACCAUGAUUAUAAUGAUGACGAUGAUGAUGAUGAUGAUGAUGAUCAUGAUGAUCAUGAUGCCGAUGGCCUUUACAGCAGUUGAUAGUUGCGGCUAUAUGCCGCCGCCGCCGCCGCCGCCGCUAGCCAACUGGCCAGCAGCGGCGGCACCCGGCUGGGUGCAGCUGGGUGCGGAAGAAUUGCACCCAGCAGUGCACCUGAAAGAAAAGGGACAAGGCGGGGGAAGGGCGCGGGAAGUCAAAAUAUGGUUAGCAGUACGACACAACUAACACACACAUAAUUAGGUGACAGUUGCAAGCAAGGGUACCGCUGCUGGUCCCCACGACGCACACCCCAUGCACCAAAACCCCAAGCCCAUCCGCACCCACCUCAGCCGGGUCCAUCAUCAACAACGCCCGCUCGGUGCCACUGGGGCGCACAGGUUGAUGCCCCAGCCGCACCUGAAGAGGAGGUGCGUG
rnacentral:lncRNA from 1 species